UGGAGGAAAGCAGGGGAUCGCAAGACCUUGCGCUUUUGGAGUGGCCGAUGCCUGGUUAGCUAGUUGGUGGGGUAAGAGCCUACCAAGGCGACGAUCAGUAGUUGGUCUGAGAGGACGACCAGCCACACUGGGACUGAGACACGGCCCAGACUCCUACGGGAGGCAGCAGUGGGGAAUUUUGGACAAUGGGCGAAAGCCUGAUCCAGCAAUGCCGCGUGAGUGAAGGAGGCCUUCGGGUUGUAAAGCUCUUUCAGUCGAGAAGAAAAGGUCGCGACUAAUAAUCGCGACUCAUGACGGUAUCGACAGAAGAAGCACCGGCUAACUACGUGCCAGCAGCCGCGGUAAUACGUAAGGUGCGAGCGUUAAUCGGAAUUACUGGGCGUAAAGGGUGCGCAGGCGGCUUUGUAAGUCAGAUGUGA
rnacentral:rRNA from 1 species